rnacentral:rRNA from 1 species
AUUGAACGCUGGCGGCAGGCCUAACACAUGCAAGUCGAACGAGUGGCGGACGGGUGAGUAAUGUCUGGGAAACUGCCUGAUGGAGGGGGAUAACUAAUGGAAAAGGUAGCUAAUACCGCAUACCAUCGGAUGUGCCCAGAGGGGAUUAGCUAGUAGGUGGGGUAAAGGCUCACCUAGGCGACGCUCCCUAGCUGGUUUGAGAGGAUGACCAGCCACACUGGAACUGAGACACGGUCCAGACUCCUACGGGAGGCAGCAGUGGGUAAUAUUGCACAAUGGGCGCAAGCCUGAUGCAGCCAUGCCGCGUGUAUGAAGAAGGCCUUCGGGUUGUAAAGUACUUUCAGCGGGGAGGCGUUACCCGCAGAAGAAGCACCGGCUAACUCCGUGCCAGCAGCCGCGGUAAUUC